rnacentral:rRNA from 1 species
AACGCACAUUGCGCCUGCCAGCAUUCUGGCAGGCAUGCCUGUCCGAGCGUCAUUUCCCCCCUCAGCGCGCCCUGCUGCGCCGCUGGUGUUGGGGCACCUCAGACGCCCCCUCGGGGGCGGCGAGGGCCCCCAAAGCGAGUGGCGGGCCCGGCUGGCUGGCCCCGAGCGCAGUACCGAACGCAUGUUCUCCUCUCGCUCUGCGGCCCUGGCCGGCGCCCUGCCGUCAACGCGCACAGUGACGUGCAGCCUCUAUUUUGCAAGGUUGACCUCGGAUCAGGUAGGACUACCCGCUGAACUUAA